rnacentral:rRNA from 1 species
AUUGAACGCUGGCGGCAUGCCUUACACAUGCAAGUCGAACGCGAAAGGGGGGCAACCCCUGAGUAGAGUGGCGCACGGGUGAGUAAUGCAUCGGAACGUGUCCUGUAGCGGGGGAUAACCUAGCGAAAGCUAGGCUAAUACCGCAUACGCCCUAAGGGGGAACGUGGGGGAUCGUAAGACCUCACACUAUAGGAGCGGCCGAUGCCGGAUUAGCUAGUUGGUGGGGUAAAAGCUCACCAAGGCGACGAUCCGUAGCUGGUCUGAGAGGAUGAUCAGCCACACUGGGACUGAGACACGGCCCAGACUCCUACGGGAGGCAGCAGUGGGGAAUUUUGGACAAUGGGGGAAACCCUGAUCCAGCCAUGCCGCGUGAGUGAAGAAGGCCUUCGGGUUGUAAAGCUCUUUCGGCCGGGACGAAAUCGCACGCGUGAAUAUCGUGUGCGGAUGACGGUACCGGCAGAAGAAGGACCGGCUAACUACGUGCCAGCAGCCGCCGCAG